CAGCCAACCACCAACCUCACCACCAAACUAUCUUGAGAGUCUCUUAAUUAAUUUAAAUUCUCUUUUAGAGUGCAGAAGGAAGAGAUCAGAUUGCAGUGAAAACAUUCAUAUUUUUCAUGUGUCCCUCUCUGUGCUGGGUAUGGACGGGCUGACUAAUGGGGAUGGCCCCUACUCUGCGGGAGUGAGAAGCAUCUACUCAGUUGGGAACAACUGCCAGGGCUCUGGUCUGGGCAACUAGGUGAGUGGUGGCCACA